CUAUAUGGGUAGUGUUCCCAGCCAGUGCAGCAUGACAGAGUCAUCUCCUUAGGUCAAGGGAGGACGAGCUUUGUGCAGGAGCUGGCAGGGACCUGCCAAAAGCUGUUUAUCUGGCUACUUCUGGGGCAAAGUGGUGGCUGGCAGCCCAAGGACGCUUAUCUGCAAGGCUGCUUAAAAAUUCAUGUUAACUCAAUUCAGGACAAGAAAUGGACAAUCUCAGCUUAUUAAAGUCAGAUCAGGUAAUUCUGGAAGAACCACUGGAAGAGCAUCCUGAAAGAUUAAUGUUUCUCAGAACACAUGUUGGAAAACUCUGCCCUAUAUCAUGUUGACUCCAUCUCAGAAGACAGGAUUGGAUUAUAAACAAGACCAGAAGACAGGAUUGGAUUAUAAACAAGACCUAAAAGCAGGAGUCUGGGAGCUGUGGACUGAGUUAAAGGAGAGGAGAAAGGCCAGAGACCUGCCCCACCGCCGCCCGCCCCGGGUCCUAACUCCACUGCUGAUGCCCUCAGUGAUCUUGGCCAAGUCCCUGCCCCCUCCAGGCCUGUCGUGAAUUAAGGAAGGUGUUAAUUAGAUGAGGAG